GAAAAAGAGGAGUAUUGAACGAG
rnacentral:piRNA from 1 species